AACGCGAAGAACCUUACCAGGCCUUGACAUCCACGGAACCCCUCAGAGACGAGGGGGUGCCCUUCGGGGAGCCGUGAGACAGGUGCUGCAUGGCUGUCGUCAGCUCGUGUCGUGAGAUGUUCGGUUAAGUCCGGCAACGAGCGCAACCCUCGCCAUUAGUUGCCAGCAGUUCGGCUGGGCACUCUAGUGGGACUGCCCGUGAAAGCGGGAGGAAGGCGGGGAUGAUGUCUAGUCAGCAUGGUCCUUACGGCCUGGGCGACACACGUGCUACAAUGGCCGGUACAGCGCGUAGCCACCUCGCGAGAGGGAGCGAAUCGCAAAAGCCGGUCCCAGUUCAGAUCGCAGUCUGCAACUCGACUGCGUGAAGUUGGAAUCGCUAGUAAUCGCGGAUCAGCCAUGCCGCGGUGAAUACGUUCCCGGGUCUUGUACACACCG
rnacentral:rRNA from 1 species